AAUGAACGCUGGCGGCGCGCCUAAUACAUGCAAGUCGAGCGAGAAGACGUAGCAAUACGUUUGUAAAGCGGCGAACGGGUGAGGAAUACAUGGGUAACCUACCCUAGAGUGGGGAAUAACUAGCCGAAAGGUUAGCUAAUACCGCGUACGCUCCUUGGACUUCGGUUCAGGGAGGAAAGCGAUACCGAGGGUAUCGCGCUCUUGGAUGGGCUCAUGUCCUAUCAGCUUGUUGGUGAGGUAACGGCUCACCAAGGCUUCGACGGGUAGCUGGUCUGAGAGGACGAUCAGCCACACUGGGCACUGCGACACGAGCCAGACUCCUACGGGAGGCAGCAGUAAGGAAUAUUGCGCAAUGGGCG
rnacentral:rRNA from 1 species